UUUGAAAACAGUAAUUAUUGAACAUCAAAGGAUUGGAUAGAGCUAUCAGACUUCCCAUCAUUGGCAGGUGGAUCUAGGAUUUUUUUAGCACGUCAAACAAAAUUAAAUUCUAAUGAAAUCGAUGAAUAAGAAUUCAGAAUUAAGAGUAUGAAGUGAUAUUGUGAAGUGUAAAUAAAUAUGUAACUCAACUUCUACUCAAGUAAUAAAAUUGAAGCCAAACAGGUAAAAUAUAAUUAGAAGUAAGAACUAAAGUAAAAAAAAAAACUAAAACUAAAUAAUAAAAAAAAAACCUUAUCUAACCUAACCCCCAAAAAAAACUUCUCAAGAUUCAGGGACAAUCAAAAGCCAAGAAUACUUUCUCACUGUAAAAUAGCAAUCAAAAUAUCGAAUAGCCAAUUAUGUAAAUUUAAAUGAAAAUUGAGAAUUUGAGAGCCAAGUAA
rnacentral:lncRNA from 1 species